GUGGGUAUAGCUCAGUAGGUUAGAGUGCCAGGUUGUGGCCCUGGAGGUCGUCGGUUCGAGCCCGAUUAUCCACCCCA
rnacentral:tRNA from 1 species